AUGGACGCUGGCGGCGUGGAUAAGGCAUGCAAGUAGAACGCCCCGCAAGGGGAGUUGCGAACGAGGUAGUAAUACAUAGGUACAAACCCCCGAGUCAGGAAUAACCUACCGAAAGGUAGGCUAAUACUUGAUAGUCUCGAAAGAGUAGAGAUUUAUCGCUUGGGGAUUGGCCUGUGCAGUAUCAGCUAGUUGGUAGGGUAAUGGCCUACCAAGGCAAUGACGCUUAGGAGAGCUGAGAGGCUGACCUCCACCGAUGGUACUGCGACACGGACCAUACACCUACGGGUGGCUGCAGUCGAGAAUCUUCCGCAAUGGACGCAAGUCUGACGGAGCGACGCCGCGUGAUCGAUGAAGUCUUUCGGGAUGUAAAGAUCUUUUAUGAAGGAGAAAGUUUUGAUAGUACUUCAUGAAUAAGGGGUUGCUAAACUCGU
rnacentral:rRNA from 1 species